UGUACUGAGUCGCUCUACACCCUUUGUGACAUACCUCAACUGUUGCUUCGGCGGGCAGGAGGACAACCCCCCUCGGGGGGCGGUCCCCCUCCCGGCCGCGCCCUCACGGGCGUGGCGCCCGCCGGAGGAUACCAAACUCUAUUUUAACGACGUUUCUUCUGAGUGGCACAAGCAAAUAAUUAAAACUUUUAACAACGGAUCUCUUGGUUCUGGCAUCGAUGAAGAACGCAGCGAAAUGCGAUAAGUAAUGUGAAUUGCAGAAUUCAGUGAAUCAUCGAAUCUUUGAACGCACAUUGCGCCCGCCAGCAUUCUGGCGGGCAUGCCUGUUCGAGCGUCAUUUCAACCCUCAAGCCCUGCUUGGUGUUGGGGCCCUACGGUCGACGUAGGCCCUUAAAGGUAGUGGCGGACCCUCCCGGAGCCUCCUUUGCGUAGUAACUUAACGUCUCGCACUGGGAUCCGGAGGGACUCUUGCCGUAAAACCCCCAAAACUUUUACAGGUUGACCUCGGAUCAGGUAGGAAUACCCGCUGAACUUAAGCAUAUCA
rnacentral:rRNA from 1 species